AUUGUAUAUUUUUAAACGAAACAUUAUUAUCUUAUUUAGAGCCGCUUUUUUUUAACCGUCCUAAAAUGGUGACCCCGACGUGAUACGAACAUGUAACCUUCUGAUUUAACCUAAAACUGCUAAUUUGCCCGCGGGUGAUAUACAUCUUUACGAUCAGUAGCAUAAAGUUCCGGGUACAGAAGCGGGUCGGAACGCUGAUGGCGCUUACCUACACCAGCCGUCAGCGGCGAUUACACCGACAACAAACAAUCCGAUUCAAUACAUUACACCGAAUACUUGAAAAAAACGACACAGGCUCUAAGGAAAAGUUGACAGGUUUCUGAGGAAGCAUCGAUCGACAGAGCUAUCAUACAUAAUAACAAGCAAACCAUAAGCUGCAAAAGAGAUAUAAAAAAAAAACAACACACAGAAACGAUCACCCUCAUUUACAAUACCGAUCACGAAUAGACAUAAAUGUGUGCGGACUGGCGGUCUGUCUGAGGACGAUUUGGAGGGAAGUGAGGGGAGGAGGAGCGGACAGCGGCCAGACGGUACCGAAAUUCAUGAUUCUAUGGAACCGAAAUGGCUAUGACUGUUGUACCCACCCAUACGGAUUCCUACCAUUUGGUACUACUGCAGCGGCACUCGGUCCAUUUGAUUUUAGUAUUGCAGCACAUACACACCAUCACACGGCUGUGAAAUGCACCCAAUUUCAGAAAUGAGGUCGAAGAUUCAAUUAGUUUUUAAGUUAAAAACGGAAUCAUUCGCCUCUUAGUAGACAACAAUUAUGCAAACCAACCAGUACUUACCUAAUAGGAAUCGAACAAAGUUCGGUAGGUACGGAUUCUCUUUAAAAAAUCGUCGUCCAGGACAAUCCCAGCCAGGACAAUUCUAAUUCAACAAAUUUACCCAGAAAAUGUUGUUUGGUGCGAAUAUCGAAUAUUUCAGUGUAAAGCAUGGAAAUAGAAGCUUUCUUAAACAAUGUUCGUGAUUAAAGAGUAAACAUUCGACGAUCUACUCUCAAAAUUUUCGGAGCAUGCCCCACAAAAGUCAGCUUUAAAUUUAUCAACAUAAGGUGCUUCAUUCGAGAUUAUUCUCAUUCGAGUGUUUAGCUAACGGAAUGUUUACCGUAAAAUUUUAAGACAAGAGUUGAGGUUUCUUUGAACGUUCAUACAUGAAGACGGAACGUGUUGACUGCACUCAAGGCUCUCGAUCUCUUCCCGCAAUCGUUUACAAACAGACGAUGAUUUAAUUUAUACAAGAUUAAAUAAUUUUUCGAGGAAAA